rnacentral:rRNA from 1 species
AUUGAACGCUGGCGGAAUGCUUUACACAUGCAAGUCGAACGGCAGCACGGACUUCGGUCUGGUGGCGAGUGGCGAACGGGUGAGUAAUGUAUCGGAACGUGCCCAGUCGUGGGGGAUAACGUAGUGAAAAUUACGCUAAUACCGCAUACGAUCUAUGGAUGAAAGCGGGGGGUCGCAAGACCUCGCGCGAUUGGAGCGGCCGAUAUCAGAUUAGGUAGUUGGUGGGGUAAAGGCCCACCAAGCCAACGAUCUGUAGCUGGUCUGAGAGGACGACCAGCCACACUGGAACUGAGACACGGUCCAGACUCCUACGGGAGGCAGCAGUGGGGAGUUUUGGACAAUGGGCGAAAGCCAGAUCCAGCCAUUCCGCGUGCAGGAUGAAGGCCCUCGGGUUGUAAACUGCUUUUGUACAGAACGAAAAGGUUUCUACUAAUACUAGGAGCUCAUGACGGUACUGUAAGAAUAAGCACCGGCUAACUACGUGCCAGCCGCCGCAGUAA